rnacentral:lncRNA from 1 species
CUGUGUACAUUCGCAAUAAAUGCGAAGAUGCGACAAUAAUUGAGGAAAUACAAUGUACAACAAUUACAAAGUGUUUCCUCGUCAUAUUGUGUAUAAAAGUGGUCAUACUUGGUCCUCCAUCACAACUUGUCCUGACACAGACUGACGAAGUGUAACCUUUAGUAGUGGCCAAAGAAUCAAUCAACUGAAGAUGUUAAAGCUUAUCGUGCUGUCGUGUCUAGUUGCCUGUGUCUUGUGCCGGUCCUACGGCGGAGUAAGGCGUGAUUCCUCGUUGUUUGAUGGAAUCGGUAGAAACAGGUGGGACACAGGUCUUGACCGUUGGGGAAACGAUCCUUGGAACGGUGAUAUCUAUGGAAGCGACAGGUACGGACGAGGAAGCGACAUGUGGAGAAAUAGGCGGGAUCGUGACAUUAUAAGAAGAAACAGAUGGGGAAACGAGAGGAUAUACUAAUGACGAGAUGAUCAAGUAUAGAAUAAGAUCCAUGUUGCCAAACAUUUGAAAAGGAAAAUCCAAUCUUACCGUUUCAUGCUUACAUUCAUCUGUACAUUCAUAUUCAUCAAUGUUUGUAAAUAAA